CAAGACCUGCGCUUUUGGAGCGGCCGAUGCCUGAUUAGCUUGCUGGUAAGGUAAAAGCUUACCAAGGCUUCGAUCAGUAGCUGGUCUGAGAGGACGACCAGCCACACUGGGACUGAGACACGGCCCAGACUCCUACGGGAGGCAGCAGUGGGGAAUUUUGGACAAUGGGGGCAACCCUGAUCCAGCCAUGCCGCGUGAGUGAAGAAGGCCUUCGGGUUGUAAAGCUCUUUCAGCCGGAACGAAACGGUUACGGAUAACACCCGUGACUACUGACGGUACCGGAAGAAGAAGCACCGGCUAACUACGUGCCAGCAGCCGCGGUAAUACGUAGGGUGCGAGCGUUAAUCGGAAUUACUGGGCGUAAAGCGUGCGCAGGUGGUUUUGUAAGUCAGAUGUGAAAGCCCCGGGCUCAACCUGGGAACU
rnacentral:rRNA from 1 species